UUGAACAACCAGCUCAAAAGUUUCCCACUCUUUUGCAGCGGUGCCAUCGCCAGGUGAAAUGUGCAGUGACGGUGAAAGAAGAGACGCAACUAAGGAUCAUGAUUUGAAUACCCUGAUCUCGUCGGCCCAGUGGCUUAGCCAUUAUGGGCUGAAGCAAAGUAAACUCACGCUGAGUCAGAUCCUGCCUACCAUCAGCUUUAAGCACAGUGAAGACUAUGUUCAUUCUUUAGGGAAAUCUGUCUCCUCCCUGUAUAGCUGUGGAAUGUUCCCACAGUUCACCAUAUAUGGAGCUGUCUACAAUAUCACAGCCUCUCAACACGAGCUGGAGAAAGUCUGUACAAGACUGGAGAGAACAGCGAAUCAGUACCAGCAGAGGCUGAACUGGCUCACGACAGGAAGUAGGCAGCUUUUUGGUGUGAUCCAGGAGAAAAGGGUCACAGUCAUAGUAGACCUCGGAAGUUGUCCCUCAAUAGAACAUCACCAACAGGCCAAGAGGGCACUGAGUCUGGUAAUCUGUGAACAAGUCUCACAGAUCGACUCAUUCAAUAUUAUUCAUUCAGGCGGGCAUGUGAAUGCAUGGAGAGAGAGAGUAGUGGACACCAGUGAGGAAAACCUACAGUCUGCCACAGAUUGGUUGUGGGCCUUACAACCUGAAGCCUCUUGUCUGAUUAACACUGCCAGUGCACUUUUAAAAGCAAUGGAGGACAUGAAUGAGGCAGUCUAUUUGUUUGCUGCUGGAGAUUUCUGGGAUGAGGACAUUAAAGAUGUGUUGGGUAAUUGGCUAGUUGACAUUGUCUGCCCUGUACACACAAUAUCAUUUAAUGCUAAGGCAGAGAAAACCAUGUUGGCCUUGAAGCACUUGUCCUUUCUAUCUGCUGGUAGGUUUCAUGCAUUUGCUGAAAUUAGUAUAUUUGUGGAUGAACUGUGUGACUCAUCACUGGAUAAAGAGAGGUGUGGGGCGUCCGAGGUUCGCACCGAACUCCUAGGAGGAGUGCCGACAGGGUGUGGAGUUCGAGAGGAUGUCUAUCUGGUCUGGAGUGAGAAAAGACAGGCCCUUCAAAUCAGAGAUCAAAUCCAAGCCAUUCUGAUAGAACUCUUCCCUCCAGAACCUAAAUCAGAACCAGACCAGCUGUGUAGCUGUACCUCAGAGUGUAGCCUGAGCUCCGGACAGUGGCUCGAGCUGUUUGGACUAAAGGCGCAGAAGCUGACUCUCUACGACGCUCUUGCCAGCUGUGUCUUUCACCACUCUGAUGGCGUUGUUGACAUUAAAACCACGCCAGCCGAUAAAAGUCUCCAGUCAGAUGCUGUGACAUGUAGAAAGCUGAUCAAUGCUAAGUACUGCAGCCAAUUUGUGCACAUGCGUUGGAAGGAUGGCUCUGUGGUUCACGUCUAUGUUACAGCUGAGGAGUGUAGACAGUAUGAGGAGAAGAUGCACCAGGCCUUAGUAGUCUUACAGAGGAGAAUAGAUUGGUUGAGGAGUGGGAGCAGAGAGCUGUUUGGCAACAUUCAGGAGGACCAGCUGUAUCUCCUCCUUGAUACCUCAGAGUCUAUGCGACGCCAUCUGCCUUGGGUGAAAGGGAAAGUUCACCAGCUCAUAGAGGAGCAGCUUUGCCAGAAGCAGAGAGUAAACAUGUUGGGCUUUGGCACGAAUGUGACACUGUGGAGAGACACGCUAACAGAAGUCAGCCCUGAGUCGCUGGCCAAUGCACUGGAUUGGAUUGACCAAUUGACGGCAGGAGGCUCUACAAAUACACUGGAUGCUCUGACUCUAGCCUUGGCUGAUGAGGGCACUCAAGCUGUGUACCUGCUAAUGGAUGGGAGGCCUGAUCAGCAUGCUAAAGACAUUUUAAAGCUGGUGAGAAGGAGGACCCCUGUGCCAAUUCACACUAUCUCCUUCAACUGUGAUGACCAUAAGGUCAACAGCUUCCUGCACGAACUCUCCCAGCAGACAGGGGGCAGAUUCCUCAGCUACUUCACAGAUGUCGGGGACGAUUAUGCUUUUCAGAGGCCUUAUGAGAAUGAAGACCUCCAGAUUUUGCAGACAGAAAUGGAGGAAGGGAGGAGAGACCUUGAGAGCAUUAUCAGACUCCGUGCUGAGUGUGUCCUGUUGGAUACUUUCCAUCAUCGCAAGAGUGGCACAACCCAAAGGCAAAUGAAGCCCUUCUGUUACGUGAAACAGUGUUCUUUCCAAAGAAAUCAAGGAGAGCAGCAGUUUGAUCAGCUCAAGUCUGCAAGAUGUGCAGCUCAAACAAAAUCCAGCUUGCUUAGGCUCCUGUCCAGCAGUGGCAGUGUUGGUGCCAGAGCUCCACUUCACAGAGGCAAAGUCCCCGAUCAGGGUUGGCUGCUCCCCGAGUCCCUGGAACUGUUUCAGACGAAUGCUGAUAAGCAGAUACAAGUCCUUCACAGGCUUGGAGAAACAUCGAACGAAAUUAGAAAAAAGAAGCAAAAGCAAACAAAACCUAAGGAGUCUCUGGAUAUGUCAACAGCAGAGUGGUUGAAGGCCAACAGUCUGGUUGCAAAGAAGCUCACUAUAUCAGAUGCUGUGGCACCAGCCGCCAUAGCUCACGAUGCAAUAUAUGUCCCCAUGCUGGAAAAGCAUGUUUACUCAAAGGUCUUUGAUGAGGUACUUCACCUGGCCCAUAUCAACAAAGGUGGCACACAGAGACUAACUCUGAUCAACCCUUUAUCUGUCGACUUGGAGGACUACAAAUCUAGACUGAGCAAAGCUCUGCGGGCCUUUGAGAGACGCCUGGACCUGAUUGUCUGGAGAGCCUUGCCACAGGAAGAAAAGGACAAGUUUGGCGGGGAGCCAGUGGCCUUCAGGGAACGGCGUGGGGUCCAGCUGGAGGUCCUGGAGAGGCUUGGCUGGCCGAUAGCCCAAGAGGAGCUGAGUGAGCUGGAGGAGCAGAUCCACCUGGGACACGGCUUCCUCCAGCAGGCCUCCGACCUGCAGGACGUCACCAGGCAGGCAGCCAGAGACGCAAGGGCAGCAACCACCAACAGCAGCCUUAAGGAAACACCCCCCAAAAGCCAGAGAGAAACCCCUAAAAGACCCCUGGAUUAUCUGAGGGGUCAAAAGGUCGUUGCUCGCUCAAAGGCCGAUGGGGUCUACUACUCAGGCGAGUCUGUCUGCUCUCAUUCCAUCACAAAUCUGUUUCCGACAGACUAUUUAUUUCUGUAUCUCACAGUAUUUCUUAGAUAUGCAGGCAUAAGCCCAGUCACCCAAAGACAGUGUCCUACAAAACCAACCUCUAUUCUCCUACUAAUCCCCUAUCAGUCAUUAUGUCUUGUCUUUUUAUGUGUCUUGUUUCCUAAAACCUCUUGUACCAUCCCAAACUUUUUUAGUGCUUCCUGGACUCAAAAGCUGUAUAUUUCAGGUGUUCUUUGGAUGGGAAAAUACUGAAUAUCCAAAACAAACACAUUCUCUUUUUAAACAGUUUAAAAACCUUUAUUUUAAUGGCUUUGGUCGUUUUAAACCUUUAAAAUCUCUGACAUGUUUCAACAUCGAGUCAUCAUCUCAAAGUCAAAACCUUGAAGAUGCACUAUCCUAAUACUGCACCACCCAAUACCUCUCUCUCUUCAAGUCCUCGUCUCACUUUUUAUUCAUCUGAUUUUGUCACAGGGAGCAGCCUGGCCACAAACUCAUAUUCAACUCAGUUUAAUUGAAGGAGUUGUGUCUUCUAUACCACAGGCAUAGCUAGGAAGCGUUUGCCUGGGAAGAGAGUAAAGGUUGAUUUGAACAGCAGGGCCUGUGAGGUCGUAGCCCUUGGCGAUGUGCUGACAGUAGGAGGCAGUGGACCCUGUCCUCCUUUGGCGGUAGCGGACUAUGUGUUGGUCGCCGCUAGGACAGACGACCUGGGUGACCACUUUGUGCCAGGAGUUGUCAUAGCAACCCCUCGUCGCUUGGAGGCUGCGGACAAAUUGUUCACCAUUCUCAAGUACAACAAUAAGGAGGUACACACUCUUCGCAAUAAGAUCAUCAAGAUCAGCCAGGCUAGAUACCAGACCACUUGUCAUAGGCUUAGACAGAUCCACAUGACCAGGAAGACAACGUGACAAGUUCUUCCAGAGCAAGCAAGGGAGGAGAGAGGAUAGACUCAUGAAGGAAACUAGGGGUCAAGUCCCAAGGAGAAUGAUUCAUUGUGUAGUGUGAAGGUUUUGUUUGAAAAACACAAGAAUUUAUAUUUUACAUUUUUCACUAGUCUAUGUCCCUACCUUGCCCCUGAUUGAGUGAUUCUACAGCUGCUCUCUGUCUGCUAGUAUACAGCUGAAUGUCUACUAGUAUACAUCAAGUCCUUACAUUUCAGAAUCUCGUAGUUUGUGGAUGGGGAACCGGAAGUGUCCUAGAAGUAUCUUGUCACUGUUGUUGUCAACUGAGACAGAAAGAACGAGUGAGAGAGGCUCCUUUGCAUGCAGGCUGAUGCAUUCUGGGAAAUCCUGGGUAUUAAAUAUAGUGAUUACCCCUGGCCUCUUGGACGGCUGUGUAAAGAGGCUUUGAACUGGUCUUAGGUCUCUGAGCACCUGGCCAGGCUCUUGACUCAUGGGGGUUGGAGACACCACAGCACAUGCUGAACUGAAAUGCUUUACUGUCAUUACAGACCAUGAAUAUGAGAUUAUUUUCAGUCUUACUUUAAUAAAAACUGUUCUUUGCAUUAUGGCAAUCAA